CUGAGUUGUCGGGGGAAUAAACUGUGCUUCGGAUCCUGUGCUAAACUUCUGUAUAUGGUGCUUCUCGGCCACCAGGCAGAUUCACAGUAAUGCUGGAGCUGUGCGCUCCUGUCUAAAUAUUUACCUAGGCUGUUUAGUGAUGCACCUACACACUGGACUCAGUCUUCUCUUUCACUCUUUGGUGCUGUUUGAUCAGUGUAUGAAAUAAUUACCUAACCAAUAGUGUACACAUUGCAUUUACAUUUAUGCAUUUGGCAGAUGAUUGUAUCCAAAUAUCAGUGCAUGCAUUUCCUGGGAACUGAACCCAUGACCUUGGUGUUGGUAGCAACAUGCUCUGUUUACUUUUGAUUGCUCAUUGAGUUAUGAUUAAUUUAUUUGCAUUUAUAUUACAUUUCUUCAAAACAAUUUCUAUUAUAAUGAUUUUUAAUGCACCUUUUGGCUUUUAAAAGAUAAUAAAAGAUUAUUUUAAAACUGCAUCAUUACAUUAGUGAGUCAGUUUUCACUGCAGUUCAAUGAGUUUUGAAUCUAGAAAACAAACUUUCAGGUGCUCUACAGACAUAUAAUGUGGAGGGGUGUCAGGAAAGCAGAUUUCCUGAAGCAUUUUCAGUCAUUUGUGCUUGUCAGUGUAUUAACUGCUUUCUUUCUUAUGUUUCUUUAAUCGCAGGCCCCCAGCAAUGACCUCCCACUGAAACAUAUAGAGACAACAGGCUCAACCAAAUCCUCCAAGAGCAUGGAGUCUCGACACAGACCAUCCAGGUAAGAGAUGUCUUUGUCUUCAUCAGAAAUCAGUUCGGUCAAUAUCUCAAUAUCUCAUGUGUUGCUACAGUAUGCACUGCUGAAGUGAACAUCUCAAGGGAUCUUCAUAGCAUUCCAAAAUCCAGCGCCGGUUGACAUUUGACUCUGCUUGGAUCAGUCUCGCAUUCUUUAUUGCAGUUUAUGAGUACGACAAAUAAACACACUUUAAAACAUCUAUACAAUCUCCAGGGAUUAGUUAUGAUGUCCUAAUAGGGCUUCUCUCCCACAUACAGUAUAUUAGAUAAAAAUUGGCACGGUAGUUUCUAUAGUUUGUGAUAGUUUACUAUAGAUACUGGCAACAAAGGAAGGACUAGAAAAUAAAUCCUUGUUACCAUAUUUACGCAUUUAGUUCAGUUAAGAAAAUGAAGAAUAUAUCCAACGGAAUAGGCUAUUUAGAAAGAAAAAACAAUCUAUGCCACAUCAAAUAAAGGGGAAAAAAAGCAAUAUUAGUAAAAUAAUCUAAAAUAAGACCAAACAAUUCAACCAAUAGAUGGUGAUUCUUUUGUAAGUGCAAAAAAACACACAAACAUUACGGAUCGUUUAUAUAUAUAAAUAUAUAUAUAUCUAUAUAUAUAUAUAUAUAUAUAUAUAUAUAUA
rnacentral:lncRNA from 1 species